rnacentral:misc_RNA from 1 species
UACUCUCAUUUCAAAGAGUUGCAUGCAAAGUCCACUGAUCCUUUGAAAGAUUUUAAAGCAGAUCUAGAAUUGGAGGUUCAAAAAGGGUCCAUUUUACAUUAUCUUCCUAAGUAUAGUCUUCAUGAUUAUCCUCUGGCACUAGAUUUUAUCGAGCGGUGCCUGAAACUUAAUCCAAAUGAGCGUCCAACUGCUGAUACGCUUUUGGAGCAUGAGUUUGUGAGGGAUAAGUUUGUGAAGGAUUCUGGCUGUUAGUAUUUUUCAGAUUCCAAUCAACUCCCCUAAAAUUUCUUCUUCAGCUUGAAUUGUGUGAACAAACGUCUAGUGUUUUUUUAUGAGCAUUUCUUCAUGUUGCUU